UAUGCUAAUCGAUUUAGUUCUCACUUUGUGUACAGCGCAACGAUGGAGCUGCUCUUGAUCUGGCUGUCGUGUUUAUUGUCUGUACCGAGCUUGUUGUCUUCAGCUGCUCUCGAAGGUAAUUGUAAUAUGAUAGCAGCAUGUCAGAAACUCUAGAUCAACCUGAAGUGAAGUUGGAAACGAUGAUUAUGACCGAUGUAACAGUGUUAUCUAGCAGGCUAAGCUGGGCAUUGGCUGUUAGUAUUUUGUCGCACACAGUCGACCGUUUGCGUUUGCAGACUCGAGUUGAUCGCUUUUCGUCAACAGAUCGUGCGGCAAACAUGCCUCCUGCCCUCGCAACUCUAAGUGCUCGCGUGCAGACGCGUUACAUACACUAAUCGUGCAGCGGCACUUUGAAUUCCAUCGGAGUGGAGGGUUUGACCGCUGUGUGCUGCUGGGAUACAGAAAAGUUGCCAUAACGUUUCUCGGUCACUGCGUCGCCCAUCACUGUGUCUAUGUAUGUAUAUAUGUAUAUGGCGAUCUUGCACAGACCAGUAGGCGGAGAUGAGGUCCGCCCUAGUUCGGACAUCUAUCAAGCGAUCGCAGUUUCUAGGUUUGAAUGACUGUUGGAAGAAUGAUUGGCGGAGACGCCGUGAGCGCUUUCUGUUGUAUUGUAUACUAAUAUCCUGUGUGCACUUGGAGAGACACCUCCCUAGCUGUUAGCUAAAUGCAACUCAACUUCAUUUGCACUCCAACUAUAUCGAGUUUCCGAAAAAAUGCGAGAAAAGUGGUUGAUUCACCGCAUUCUACAUCCGAUCUACACUCUCAGGUCUAAAAUAUUUUUUGUGGUUUAUCUGAUGCACACGUGUAUUCUCUGGAGGGUACGGUACGUGACACAUGGUGACACACGGCAAAUUGAGGACAAGAUGAGGUGACCUGAUGAUACUGUAUGUUCUGCAGCUUGCCUUCUAGCAAACUACUAAACUUGAUCAGAAGAUAAAGGCCAAUAGUAUUUAGACUCGAAGUUAAACUCGACUGUGGCCGCCACUAUCGAAUCAGAAGGAUUGAAAGAGAGCGGGAAUCCAUGGUGGGUCUAUCUAAUAGUAGCUGUAGGAUGUACGGCUUUGCUUCUGACAGGCGUUAUCCUACUAGUACGUUGCAUAAGAAAUAGACGUGGCCGGUACGUUGUGAAAUCUGGUGAACCUAGAGUGACUAUUUGUGAAGAAAACGUAGGUAGCAUUCGAGGCCAAGCGUUCUCCGUCCAGACGUUGAAAGUUCAGCCAUUGAACAAUCACUCAAGCAAAGAGACAAUGACAUCUAGGAAAUUUUCUAGCGACGAGCAACGAGGCAGUGAAGCAAACUUGACUGUUGAACGCAAUGAAUCAAGCAGCAGCAGUGACAACGAGGCAGGAGACCGUUUUUUAGGUAAACAUGGAAUAGUCAAUCCGGUAGUUGAAUUGGAAGCUCCAGUGGAUAGUAAAAACCACAAGGACAACAGGAAAAGACGAAUGACUUAUGAAUCUCAAACAAGUAAUGAUCAACAUGUCUGGUACUUCGACGAUGACGAGCGAUACUCUGUAAUGCAAUCAAACACGGAAGACAGAGAAGAUUUGGACGUCGUUCUAGAACAAUCCGUCGAUCAUUCCUAUAAUAAUCCUCUGUACUCUUCAUACUUCAAUAGGACACGCCAACGUGGAAUCGAGUCUCCCGAAAGUGCACGUCAUACAGGCGACGGUAGCUCCGAUAUUUGUAGCGCCACGGAAGAAGAAGGCAGAGACAAUGUACCCUUGGACGCAAAGAGAUAUCAAACAGAUGAUGGCAGAGUCAGCAUGCCACCAGCUGACGGACACUCACAGCCCAGUUCUCCACGGGGAGAAGACACACACCAACUUGUAGGUAGAGGACAUGGUAUCUGGCAGUAUGCUAGAGAGGUUACUCCAGACGGAAAGAGAUACACGAAGAUAAAAGCUACCAAACUACGUCUACCAUCUAGCCAAUCUACUUUGGCAUCAGAUCUGUAGUGUUCAUAUCGCAAUUGUAUUAUGCACUGCACGUGCAGAUUUCUGUGUAUGUUUCAGAAAUGCAUAAAUGAAAAGACUUAACUAACAGUUGUCAGAUUUAGUAUUUGGAGUGAAUAAAAGCUUUGUAUCGUAAAUACUAGUACUGCAUUUUUUCUUUUACAAUUCACUGUGAAGAACAUGCAUAUCUAUGGCGUUCUACAGCUAGUUGGUUGGUGGCUUAAUUUUUAUUAGCACAGCUAUAAAAUCAAGUAGCAGUGAGUAAUACA